CCCUUAGAUGUUCUGGGCCGCACGCGCGCUACACUGACGAAUGCAACGAGCUUAUAACCUUGGCCGAAAGGUCUGGGUAAUCUCCAAAUUUCGUCGUGAUGGGGAUAGAUUAUUGCAAUUAUUAAUCUUCAACGAGGAAUGCCUAGUAAGCGCAAGUCAUCAGCUUACGUUGAUUACGUCCCUGCCCUUUGUACACACCGCCCGUCGCUCCUACCGAUUGAAUGGUCCGGUGAAGCGCUCGGACCGCGGCCUCUUGACGGUUCGCUGUCGAUUGGCUGUGGGAAGUUCGUUAAACCUUAUCAUUUAGAGGAAGGAGAAGUCGUAACA
rnacentral:rRNA from 1 species